GAUGAAGAACGUAUCAAAAUGCGAUAAGUAAUGUGAAUUGCAGAAUUCAGUGAAUCAUCGAAUCUUUGAACGCACAUUGCGCCCGCCAGUAUUCUGGCGGGCAUGCCUGUUCGAGCGUCAUUUCAACCCUCAAGCACAGCUUGGUGUUGGGACUCGCGUUAAUUCGCGUUCCCCAAAUUGAUUGGCGGUCACGUCGAGCUUCCAUAGCGUAGUAGUAAAACCCUCGUUACUGGUAAUCGUCGCGGCCACGCCGUUAAACCCCAACUUCUGAAUGUUGACCUCGGAUCAGGUAGGAAUACCCGCUGAACUUAAGCAUAUCAAUAAGCGGAGGA
rnacentral:misc_RNA from 1 species